CGUAGUCUCUGAGAUGUUUUAUUUAUUUAGUCUCGAAGAGACGGCCUCCUACGAUCUGGACUAAGUAGGAGCUCAGAAGAUUUAUUACCACAGCAGAAAAACAAAAAAAUACCGUAGAAUUUGUUGCUAAUAUGAAUGGAGCUACCAUCCACAAAGUGUGUGUCGCUUAUAGUCUGCUUCUCCUGUUUAACAACACGGAUGAAAUAAAUGGAAGAGGAAAAAGAGAAUGACUCUACGUACCCUCGGUCCAGAUUGCUCGAUUGUAAAGGUGGCCAUUGAACCUCUGAAUCGCCAAGUAAUCUUUGCACCAGCUUCCACG
rnacentral:lncRNA from 1 species